GGUGAUUCAUCUGCCUCAGCCCCCCAAAGUGCUGGGAUUUACAGGCAUGAGCCACCUCACCCAGCUGCCUCUCUUGUACUAGAGGCUUUCUUCAAAUGCCUGCUGACCUUUGGUUGUCCAUUCAUAAAUUGACUAGCCCAUUAAAAAGUUGACUGAAAGCUCUGUGUUUGUGGAUGUGGUUUGUUCGCUAAUGGACUUCAUAGCAGGAUGAUUGGUUGGGGACCUGAUCAUUUUGUUAGGAAACCUGCAGAUGUGAUUAUCUUGCCUUUCCACUGAGUCCAGAUUGGCAGGUGCACUACGAGUCAUACACAUGGUGGAAACUGGAUCCUGGCAACGAGGAGACACAGACGCUGGUUCGAGAGUACUUUUCCUGGGAGGGGGCCUUCCAACAUGUGGGCAAAGCCUUCAAUCAGGACAAGUCUUCAAGUGAAUGUCUCUUGCCAUCACCUAACUGCCUGCACCUGCUCUUCAGGGAGAUGGGGGUCAUUUAUCUAGAGCUUUCAGCUUCUCCAGAGGUAAAUCUGUAUCUGCUACCAGUGUUCUUGGAACCGAGUUGGUUUAGAGAUCUGAUUCCAUGCCACCAAUAGGUUUCCUUCAAUCUCUCUGUGUUCAGUAAAAUGUUUCAUGGCUUCCUUUGCUGGGCCUAGUACACCCAAGUGUAGAGCCUCUCUGGUUCAAUGCUAUGAGAAAAACUUCCUAUUCCUUAUGAUGGUAGAAUAAGAAUACAUGCUGGCUCUAUGAUUAGGGGUUUGAAUCUGAGGAUUAUAUAGGCUUUCAAAGAAUCGUCCUGUUUUCUACUCAUUGCCUCACCUACACUUAGUUCCUCCAAUUGCUGAAUUUUUCCAGGAUUCUGUGGGGUAAAUAGGCUUGCCUCUUUUCUGUGUUCCCCUCUGUAAUCAGUUAGGUUGUAGCUUUCGCUGUUAAGUCAACUACCUCUACUCUUUUUUUUUCAACUCCCCCAAAUUGCUGUAAACCUUUAAUUAGCUAUUGUCUCCAUUCCUGUUCGCUUGAUCCUUGUUGGAUUAUUCCUUUUUUAUUCCUUCUCCAGCAUUUUGUCCCUGUCAGCACAUCAGAGCUGAACAUAAGCCAUCAGUCAAAAUACAGUCUCACCUCUAUUCUCUGCCCAGCGGCUUACUUUGCCACAGCACAGAGAACCCCACCCCCUUUCUUUGUGGAACCGCCAUGGCGGCUGAGACCCUGAACACGUAUGCUGAAAACUGGAGGGCCUUCAAGGCCCUCGCCGCUGCUCAGCACAGCAGGGCUCAGGUCUGCAGGCGCUCCACACCACACCACUUCCACUUUGGCCAAACCAACCGCACCCCUGAAUUUCUCCACAAAUUUCCUGCCAGCAAGGUUCCGGCAUUUGAGGGUGAUAAUGGAUUCUGUGUGUUUGAGAGCAAUGCCACUGCGUACUGUGUGAGCAAUGGGGAGCUUCCGGGAGGUACUCCAGAGGCAGCAGUCCAGGUGGCGCAGUGGGUGAGCUUUGCUGAUAGCGAUAUAUUGCCCCCAGCCGGCACCUGGGUGUUCCCCACCUUGGCCACCAUGCACCAUAACAGGCCACUAAGACUGCAAAGGAAGAAGUGAGAUGAAUUCUGGGGCUGCUGGAUGCUCACUUGAAGACGAGCACUUUUCUGGUAGGUGAACGAGCGACACUGGCUGACAUCACAGUUGUCUGCACCCUGUUGUGGCUCUAUAAGCAGGUCCUAGAGCCUUCUUUCUGCCCGGCCUUUCCCAGUACCAACUGCUGGUUCCUCACCUGCAUUAACUAACCCCAGUUCAGGCUGUCCUGGGGGAAGUGAAACUGUGUGAGAAGAUGUCCCAGUUUGAUGCUAAAAAGUUUGCAAAGAUCCAACCUAAAAAGGAAAGAGAAGGGCUCACGGGAAGAGAAGCAGAAGCCCCAGGCUGCGCAGAAGGAGGAGAAAAAGGCGGCUGCGCCAGCUCCUGAGGAGGAGAUGAAUGAAUGUGAGCAGGCGCUGGCCGCUGAGCCUAAGGCCAAGGAAUCGUUCGCUCACCUGCCCAAGAGUACCUUAGAGUUGGAUGAAUUUAAGUGCAAUUACUCCAUUGAGGACACAUUCUCUGUGGCACUGCCAUAUUUCUGGGAGCACUUUCACUUUGAUAAGGACAGCUGGUCCCUGUGGUACUCAGAGUAUCACUUCCCUGAAGAACUCACUCACAACUUCAUGAGCUGCAGUCUCAUCACUGGAAUGUUCCAGCGACUAGACAAACAGGAAGAAUGCCUUCGUCAGUGUCAUCCUCUUUGGAACCAACAAUGGCAGCUCCAUUUCUGGAGUCUGGGUCUUCCGAGGCCAGGAGCUUGCCUUUCCGCUGAGUCCAGGUUGGCAGGUGCACUACGAGUCAUACACAUGGCAGAAACUGGAUCCUGGCAACGAGGAGACCCAGACGCUGGUUUGAGAGUACUUUUCCUGGGAGGGGGCCUUUCAGCAUGUGGGCAAAGCCUUCAAUCAGGGCAAGAUCUUCAAGUGAAUGUCUCUUGCCAUCACCUAGCUGCCUGCACCUGCCCUUCAGGGAGAUGGCAGUCAUUAAAGAAAACUCAACAUUGGGGAAAAAAAAGACAGUCUCGGCUGAGUGUGGUGACUCAUACCUGUAAUGCCAGCACUUUGGAAGGCCGAGGCAGGUGGAUCACCUGAGGUCAUGAGUUCAACACCAGCCUGACCA